rnacentral:ncRNA from 1 species
GCAGGAGGACGGCCUCCCCCAUAUCGGGAACGCUUCGGGACGGCCCGU